rnacentral:rRNA from 1 species
AUUAAACGCUGGCGGCAUGCCUUACACAUGCAAGUCGAACGGCAGCACGGGGGCAACCCUGGUGGCGAGUGGCGGACGGGUGAGUAAUACAUCGGAACGUGCCCAUGAGUGGGGGAUAGCCCGGCGAAAGCCGGAUUAAUACCGCAUACGCCCUUAGGGGGAAAGCGGGGGAUCUUCGGACCUCGCGCUAUUGGAGCGGCCGAUGUCGGAUUAGCUAGUAGGUGAGGUAAAGGCUCACCUAGGCGACGAUCCGUAGCUGGUCUGAGAGGAUGAUCAGCCACACUGGGACUGAGACACGGCCCAGACUCCUACGGGAGGCAGCAGUGGGGAAUAUUGGACAAUGGGCGAAAGCCUGAUCCAGCCAUGCCGCGUGGAUGAAGAAGGCCCUAGGGUUGUAAAGUCCUUUCGGUGGUGAAGAUAAUGACGGUAACCACAGAAGAAGCCCCGGCUAAUUUCGUG